rnacentral:rRNA from 1 species
UAUCACGGCCAUAUCAUGCUGAGAGCACCAGUUCUCGUCCGAUCACCGAAGUUAAGCAACGUCGUUAGAUGGGUGACCGCUUGGGAAACAAACCUAGGUGC